AGCAUUAUACCGUGAACUGCGAAUGGCUCAUUAAAUCAGUUAUCGUUUAUUUGAUAGUACCUUACUACUUGGAUAACCGUGGUAAUUCUAGAGUUAAUACAUGCUGAAAACCCCGACUUCGGAAGGGGUGUAUUUAUUAGAUAAAAAACCAAUGCCCUUCGGGGCUCCUUGGUGAUUCAUAAUAACUUCUCAGAUCGCAUGGCCUUGCGCCGGCGACGGUUCAUUCAAAUUUCUGCCCUAUCAACUUUCGAUGGUAAGGUAUUGGCUUACCAUGGUUUCAACGGGUAACGGGGAAUUAGGGUUCGAUUCCGGAGAGGGAGCCUGAGAAACGGCUACCACAUCCAAGGAAGGCAGCAGGCGCGCAAAUUACCCAAUCCCGACACGGGGAGGUAGUGACAAUAAAUACUGAUACAGGGCUCUUUUGGGUCUUGUAAUUGGAAUGAGUACAAUUUAAACCUCUUAACGAGGAACAAUUGGAGGGCAAGUCUGGUGCCAGCAGCCGCGGUAAUUCCAGCUCCAAUAGCGUAUAUUAAAGUUGUUGCAGUUAAAAAGCUCGUAGUUGAACCUUUGGCCUGGCUGGCAGGUCCGCCUCACCGCGUGCACUUGUCCGGCCGGGCCUUCUCUUCUGGAGAACCGCAUGCCCUUCACUGGGUGUGUUGGGGACCAGGACUUUUACUUUGAAAAAAUUAGAGUGUUCAAAGCAGGCCUUUGCUCGAAUACGUUAGCAUGGAAUAAUAGAAUAGGACGUGCGGUCCUAUUUUGUUGGUUUCUAGGACCGCCGUAAUGAUUAAUAGGGACAGUCGGGGGCAUCAGUAUUCAAUUGUCAGAGGUGAAAUUCUUGGAUUUAUUGAAGACUAACUACUGCGAAAGCAUUUGCCAAGGAUGUUUUCAUUAAUCAGUGAACGAAAGUUAGGGGAUCGAAGACGAUCAGAUACCGUCGUAGUCUUAACCAUAAACUAUGCCGACUAGGGAUCGGGCGGUGUUAUUAUUUUGACUCGCUCGGCACCUUACGAGAAAUCAAAGUGUU
rnacentral:rRNA from 1 species